CUCUCAGCACACUGAAGGGCUUUUCAGGGUAAAUAUAGUGUCUAUUCUGGUAUUCAGGGACACAUGCUGGCCGGGUCUGAUUUCAGAGCUCUUGCCAGGGCUUUUAAAGCUCUCUGUCUUGCCUGACUGUUAAGGGUUUCCUCUGCUGUUCGGGGCUGGGCAUUAGGGAUCGGGACCUGGGAUUUUCAGGCAAACAUCCCUGUGCUCUGUUCCUGUAACCCUUGGAUCAGGUGAUGAAAAGCAUAGAAGAACCGUUAAGAAUGGAGCCUGUUGCAGAAUGAACCCCUGAGGAGACAUGGACCCUUUGCCCUCCAGUCCUCCAAGACUGGUUGGAGGAGGCCAUCGGGAGCCCCUGCUGGCUGCUUCUCGUGAUGGAUUCCUUAGUCAGAACAACUGAAUGCCAGCAGCUUGGAGACUGACUCAUCUGUUGUUGAACCAAAGCAUCAUUGCUUUCCCCUGCCCCCUGCCCCUCCAGUGGGAUUUAUGCAGUGACUUCUCCGGUGGACCAGCCAGCCGAACUGCUGAACGGGCCGUUGACAGAAGAGCCAGCCUGCGCUUUGGCAGUGGGGACAGACAGCCCGGAGCUUUGUCCCUCCCGCUGGGACAGGCUGUGGGGAAUCCCCUGUUGGCUGCUGUCGACAAGUACCUGCGAGCACCGUGAGAAUGGCUACAGAAGCAUCCACAUUGAGCCAGUGGAAACCAGCGCUCUGAGAACUCACUCCGGAGCCCAGGAGGACGGCACUCGUCAACACCAGAAGGAUGUUCAGGAUCUCGGCCCCAAUGGACAGCCACAAAAGUCCUGCAAAGUGUGAGGGUGAUAGAGACGCUGAGCCUGGAGAGUUCAGAAGCACCGUGAUGUCGAACCCUUUGAUCCUGUUCCCUUCUAAGACACAAAAACAGGGUGGCCUGGAUGGCUCAGUCGGUUGAGCAUCCGACUUUGGCUCAGGUCAUGAUCUCACUGUUUGUGAGUUCGAGCCCCGCGGCGGGCUCUGUGCUGACAGCUCGGAGCCUGGAGCCUGUUCUACAUUCUGUGUUUCCCUCUUUCUCUCUCCUCCCCCGCUCAUGCUCUGUCUCUC